rnacentral:rRNA from 1 species
ACGUAGGGGGCGAGCGUUAUCCGGAAUUACUGGGUGUAAAGGGUGCGUAGGCGGUACGGCAAGUUUGAUGUGAAACCCUCGGGCUUAACCCGGGGCAUGCAUCGAAAACUACUGAACUAGAGUGCAGGAGAGGAAAGCGGAAUUCCUAGUGUAGCGGUGAAAUGCGUAGAUAUUAGGAAGAACACCAGUGGCGAAGGCGGCUUUCUGGACUGCAACUGACGCUGAGGCACGAAAGCGUGGGGAGCAAACAG